CAAGAUGAGAUGAUUCCACGGAUGCAAAGCACAAGUACCUGUUCCUGGCCCAGCAUCUUCAUCAUUUGGCUAAGGCUUAGUUCAUCCCUAUUCUGCCACCACUUUCUCCUAACUCAGACCCACCUCUCCCUCCCUUGGACCCCCACUGUAACUUCUGAAAAGUGGCACUUGUCAUAGUACCAAGGGUAACUGACCCUCCCAUAUCCAGAGCCAGUGGUAGUCUUGGUGGUGUUGACUCCAUCCUCAGCCUGUGUUUUAAUAUGGUCAAUCAGAUAACAUGCCUCUGGCCCCAGUGAUUGGUUCAGAGGGCUUGGCACUAUGAAGAUUGAGCUGCCUGUGACCAACUCACGGAGAAAAUCUGCCUGAGAGUAAAGCCAACACAGAGGGAAGUAAAAUCAACUGAGUCCUAAUGACAGUGUUUGAGCCCCUGGAUCAAGCCAUGCCUGAAGGCAGUGAUCUUAAUUUUUUUUAAACUAUACAAAUAUAUUUUAAAAUUAUUAUUUUCUGU